rnacentral:rRNA from 1 species
CCCUUAGAUGUUCUGGGCCGCACACGCGCUACACUGAAGGAGGCAGCGUGUACUCCUGGAUCGAAAGAUUUGGGUAACCCGCGAAUCUCCUUCGUGCUAGGGAUUGAGGUUUGCAAUUAUCCUUCAUGAACGAGGAAUUCCCAGUAAGUGCAAGUCAUAAGCUUGCGCUGACUACGUCCCUGCCCUUUGUACACACCGCCCGUCGCUACUACCGAUUGAAUGGUCCGGUGAAUUCUUCGGACUGUGGCUUUGGAUCGGUUUCGGCCGAGACGCUGCCGUGGGAAGUUGUUUAAACCUUACCAUUUAGAGGAAGGUGAAGUCGUAACA